GCUGGGCGUGGUGGCGCACGCCUGUAAUCCCAGCUACUUGGGAGGCUGAGGCAGGAGAAUUGCUUGAACCUGUGAGGGGGAGGUUGCAGUGAGCCGAGAUCAUGCCACUGCACUCCAGCCUGGGUGACAGAGUAAGAUUCUGUCUUGC
rnacentral:SRP_RNA from 2 species